AAGUCGUAACAAGGUCUCCGUUGGUGAACCAGCGGAGGGAUCAUUACUGAGUUCUACAAAACUCCCAACCCUUUGUGAAUUAUACCUUAGUUGCCUCGGCGUCGAGCGAGUCAACCUACCCGGGAGCUACCCUGGAGUCACCUACCCUGUAGAACCUACCCUGUAGGACCUACCCUGUAGACGGCUACCCUGGAGCUACCCUGUAGUUGCACUUUCGCGUCGCCGGUGGACUACCAAACUCUUAUAUGUAUAGUGUAUCUCUGAAUUCUUAACAAAAUUAGUUAAAACUUUCAACAACGGAUCUCUUGGUUCUG
rnacentral:misc_RNA from 1 species